GCUCUUAAAGGAAAACAGCUAUUCCCCUGGUCUUAGGCUCCAGAAACUCUUGGUGCAAUUCCAAGUAAGAGCU
rnacentral:tRNA from 1 species